GGAUUAGAUACCCUGGUAGUCCACGCCGUAAACGAUGUCUACUAGUUGUCGGUGGUCUUGUACUGCUGGUAACGCAGCUAACGCGAUAAGUAGACCGCCUGGGGAGUACGGCCGCAAGGUUAAAACUCAAAUGAAUUGACGGGGGCCCGCACAAGCGGUGGAGCAUGUGGUUUAAUUCGAAGCAACGCGAAGAACCUUACCUGGCCUUGACAUCCUGCGAAUCUCUUGGAGACAAGAGAGUGCCUUCGGGAACGCAGAGACAGGUGCUGCAUGGCUGUCGUCAGCUCGUGCCG
rnacentral:rRNA from 1 species